UUCCACCACCAACAGCAACACAGACAAACUGAAAUAAAAAGAUAUAAAAAAAGAACUGGAUUUCCAUUUUGGAAUUUGGAGCAGGCCCACACAAAACCAGUCAAAUGGUGCUAUGUGGUAGAAGGUUGAACCUCAGCAAUAACCUCAUCUAUAUGAAGGCCCUUUGGAAGGGUAACUCAUACCUUGAUAGUCCUCUUGUUCCUGUCGUUCAUUGAUAUCCAAUGUCAAUUUUUUCAUUCUCAUCCUCUCCUCUUGCUCAGCUUGUUGUUGAUUCCAGUGAUUUGCAGCCAAUUGAGACGACAUUGGCACAUUUAGGAUCUUAAACUGAAGACAGACAAGA